AAUAAUACCUUUGAAAGACGUGUUCCCUUUUCACCAAUGCACAGACCCAGAAGACCCCUCCAUCCUGCAGCCCCUGCCAUGAGCCUCGGGCUCCUGUGUUGUGCAGCCUUUUCUCUCCUGUGGGCAGGUCCAGUGAAUGCUGAUGUCACUCAGAUCCCAAAAUUCCGGGUCCUGAAGACAGGACAGAGCAUGACACUGCAGUGUGCCCAGGAUAUGAACCAUGACUACAUGUACUGGUAUCGACAAGACCCAGGCAUGGGGCUGAGGCUGAUUCAUUACUCAGCUGGUGAGGGUACAACUACCAGAGGAGAAGUCCCCGAUGGCUACAAUGUCUCCAGAUUAAAAAAACAGAAUUUCCUUCUCGGGCUGGAGUCAGCUGCUCCCUCCCAGACAUCUGUGUACUUCUGUGCCAGCAGUUACUCCACAGUGCUGCAUGGCUGUCUCCUCUCUGCACAUAAAGGCAAGAGAAGGUGCUGCCCUCCUCCCCAGCACAGACUCAAUGAUGUCCUUGGUCCUAGCACCGAAAACUUUGGAGCCCCAGUGGGCCCGGGCAGUGCGAGACUUGAAUGUGCCCAGCAGACAGAGGAGCGGCUGUGGGAUGAGAAGGUGAACUCGGAGAUGCAGCGUGAGGCCUCCGGGUCCAGACAGCAUGGGAGCCCAAAGCGAUGUCCCAUGCAAUAA